AGCGAACGCUGGCGGCAGGCCUAACACAGGCAAGUCGAACGAACCUUUCGGGGUUAGUGGCGGACGGGUGAGUAACACGUGGGAACGUGCCUUUAGGUUCGGAAUAACUCAGGGAAACUUGUGCUAAUACCGAAUGUGCCCUUCGGGGGAAAGAUUUAUCGCCUUUAGAGCGGCCCGCGUCUGAUUAGCUAGUUGGUUGAGGUAAUGGCUCACCAAGGCGACGAUCAGUAGCUGGUCUGAGAGGAUGAUCAGCCACAUUGGGACUGAGACACGGCCCAAACUCCUACGGGAGGCAGCAGUGGGGAAUCUUGCGCAAUGGGCGAAAGCCUGACGCAGCCAUGCCGCGUGAAUGAUGAAGGUCUUAGGAUUGUAAAAUUCUUUCACCGGGGACGAUAAUGACGGUACCCGGAGAAGAAGCCCCGGCUAACUUCGUG
rnacentral:rRNA from 1 species